AAGGAAGUGGUGAAGAUGCGAUUCAUCAGUCUUUAUCUGUUAAUCAAUCUCCCAAGAGAACACCACGCUUGAAAAAUAUAAGAAUUAUUUGUAACCAUUGAUUUCAGAUUCUAAGCUAUUUAUAUUGUUACUGUUUGUUUGAUUAGGUUACGGGAUUUCUUUUAUAUUUAUAUUCUUGUUUGAUAGAUAGUUUUUUAGGUCCAUGCAUGGAAUCAACAAAACAAUGGAUUCAAAGUCGGAUCAAAGCUCAUGAUCCACACCCAAAGCAAGGCUCACGAUUCGGCUGUACGAACUUUUCUUUCACCAUCGUUAAUUAGGUUUAUCCCGUAUCCAGAAUUUCUAAUGGCUUUGAUACUAUAUCUGUUGAAGCAGAAAAUAACAUAAUAGAUAUUUUAAUGGAACAAAAAAUAUAGAGUUGAAAAUCGAACCAAACUCUUUCGGUCACAAAGGUCCCAAGAGCAUUUCACAUUUUCUUGAUUCAAUCCCUGCUACAUACAUGUAAUCACACAAAGUAAAUAGGCAUUAUCUAUGAUGAUUGAUGCCAAACUAUAUAAUUAUGAUUGACUCAUACGAAGUAGCCAUUUUUUUAUUGUUUUUGCCAGAGACGGAGAGACUGUUUGCAAAGUUUGAGUUGCUGAAGGUUAUUGGUUGAAGCAGGCAUCAAUGUUACCAUACGCAGGUCUAUCUUAAGAUUUGAUCCUCUGUAAUUUUGGAUUUUAAAGCUAUUGGAAGCUGAGAUUUUUUACUCGCGUUCCACUUUGGAUAGAACCAGACCGGAGAACGCCGGCGUCGCAAGUUCAUCGAUCGGAGAACGCCGACCAUCGUCUCCUCCACUGCUACCGCUGCUGAAGGGAAAAAUAUUUGGGGAUUCGGUUUUUACUUUGAAUUUGGUAUGAAUUAGGUUCUUAUUCAAUCAGCUCUGUUCAUUGUAUUUGAUUGUCUCUCACAUGUUUCAAUCAGCUCAGUAUUUGAUGUGAAAUCGAAACUUUUGACUUCUCAUCUCUUUAGAAAUUAGCUUGACCUUGUUGUUUUAUGAGCUAACAUCUGAUUUUUAGUGUUGAGUGAAGCAUGAAGCUUGAUUCGUUGGUC